GUGUCAGCAGCCGCGGUAAGACGAACCGAGCGAACGUUGUUCGGAAUCACUGGGCUUAAAGGGCGCGUAGGCGGCUUGCCAAGUCAGGGGUGAAAUUUUGCGGCUUAACCGUAACAGUGCCUUUGAUACUGGCAGGCUAGAGGGAGACAGGGGUCCGCGGAACUUCUGGUGGAGCGGUGAAAUGCGUUGAUAUCAGAAGGAACGCCGGUGGCGAAAGCGGCGGACUGGAUCUUUUCUGACGCUGAGGCGCGAAAGCUAGGGGAGCAAACGGGAUUAGAUACCCCGGUAGUCC
rnacentral:rRNA from 1 species